rnacentral:rRNA from 1 species
CCUACGGGAGGCAGCAGUGAGGAAUAUUGGUCAAUGGGCGUAAGCCUGAACCAGCCAAGUCGCGUGAGGGAUGAAGGUUCUAUGGAUCGUAAACCUCUUUUAUAAGGGAAUAAAGUGCGGGACGUGUCCCGUUUUGUAUGUACCUUAUGAAUAAGGAUCGGCUAACUCCGUGCCAGCAGCCGCGGUAAUACGGAGGAUCCGAGCGUUAUCCGGAUUUAUUGGGUUUAAAGGGUGCGUAGGCGGCCUUUUAAGUCAGCGGUGAAAGUCUGUGGCUCAACCAUAGAAUUGCCGUUGAAACUGGGAGGCUUGAGUAUGUUUGAGGCAGGCGGAAUGCGGGGGGUAGCGGUGAAAUGCUUAGAUAUCACGCAGAACCCCGAUUGCGAAGGCAGCCUACCAAGCCAUGACUGACGCUGAUGCACGAAAGCGUGGGGAUCAAACAGGAUUAGAUACCCUUGUAGUC